UACGUAGGGUGCGAGCGUUUAAUCGGAAUUACUGGGCGUAAAGCGUGCGCAGGCGGCGCGUUAAGACAGGUGUGAAAGCCCCGAGCUUAACUUGGGAAUUGCGCUUGUGACUGGCGUGCUGGAGUGUGGCAGAGGGAGGUGGAAUUCCACGUGUAGCAGUGAAAUGCGUAGAGAUGUGGAGGAACACCGAUGGCGAAGGCAGCCUCCUGGGCCAGCACUGACGCUCAUGCACGAAAGCGUGGGGAGCAAACAGGG
rnacentral:rRNA from 1 species